AAAAGAAAUAAAAACAGACGAAAACAGGAUCUAGGUAGGUAUAGAUAAUGAGAAAUGGAUCAUAAUGGAGUGCCGUUCGAAAGACAACAUUUCCGUCACCUUAUAGGAAGUUGAUCCACGUUUUAGAGGAAAACAAACGCGUCAGUCUUAACAUUUUCCCUUGUGUAGUGUGUUUGCAGCAAUAUCCAAGGACGAGACGCUGCAAGAAGGGACCUGGAUCGCUAAGUACGUGUGGGACAGCCAGCCACACUCCCUCUACCGGUCAGCUUGGACGGCCUUAUGCGACGUCUAUAAAGGAACUCCGUACAUUCAGGUCAGGCGGGGCAGCAAACCCAUGGAAGAGGGACGAGAGUGAGACAAGAGGCCCCACACACGCACGGCAGAGAUGAAGGUGUGUUACGUAAAUCCUCGAGCCAAGCCUUAUCUGGUUGCCAAUUUGCAUAUCGCGACCCAAUUUUGGCAGGU